rnacentral:SRP_RNA from 1 species
GCCGGGCGCGGUGGCGCGUGCCUGUAGUCCCAGCUACUAGGGAGGCUGAGGUGGGAGGAUCACUUGAGCCCAGGAGUUCUGGGCUGCAGUGCGCUAUGCCGAUCGGGUACCCGCACUAAGUUCGGCAUCAGUAUGGUGACUUCCCGGGAGCGGGGGACCACCAGGUUGCCUAAGGAGGGGUGAACCAGCCCAGGUUGGAAACGGAGCAGGUCAAAACUCCCAUGCUGAUCAGUAGUGGGAUUGCACCUGUGAAUAGCCACUGCACUCCAGCCUGGGCAACAUAGCGAGACCCUGUCUCU